CGCAGUCAGUCGGGAGAGUCCCACCAUCACCAUUGGAUGGGCGCCGAAGGAGCAACACUCCCCAGAAUCUCUCAGGCCCGCAUACCGAUUCGACUAG
rnacentral:ncRNA from 1 species